CUGGCCUGUCUGGGUGGGCACAGGAGCCUGAGGGCUCUGAAUGCUGUCUCGCACCACACUGGGUGUGUAGGUCAGGAAGAACCAUGGCCAUUUGGGACAGACUGGUGACAGUUGCUGGCACUGUGGAAAGAAAUUUGCUCUCUCCUGAAGCCGCUGUUUUACUUUUAUUCCAUCAUAGUUCACACCAAGAAGGUAAAUAUGAUGUCCCUCACAGUGCUGGGGCUACGAAUGCUGUUUGCCAAGAGUGUGGCCAUCAAUUUUCUCUUCACUGCCAAGUUCUUCUUCUUCUAAGGCUGGCUGGCGUGAGGAGACUACAGUUCCUGAAAGAAAAUCAAAAGCUUAUGAACAUGCUGUAUCCAAGGCUUCCAACUCCUUCGUGCUCCAAACUGACCCGCCACCACCGCCUCUAAACAGCUGCUAACAAAACCAGCUUUUCUGUGAAGGCAACAAGCCUAGCUAAUCCUCUGGUCUAGUAGAAAACCAGAAGCCCUGGGGAGUGGGGUUUGUGGGCCUGGCUUUACACACUGCUUUUAUAAAGGCUCGGAAAGCUAUGAAAACACAGACCUAUUUUAUUUUCCCCUUAUAACUGGUAUACUUUGGAAAUGGUGUUCCAUCCUUCUUUAUUUACCCAGAACUAGAAAGCGGGGACCAGUAAAUCAGCAGCUUAAUUACCCAGGAGGAAAAUGGUCUUGGGAAAGAGAACAUGUAUCUUUUUAGCUUAACGUGGAAAGCCGCACUCAGCCCGUUCCUAGCCAGCCCCCCCCCCCCGCCCCUCCUCCUCCUCUCCUGAGGCACGGAUGGCCCACCCUCUGGAUUCGCCCUCACAGCCAUGCAGGAGAGUGUUCCCAGCAGCACCGGGGUGCCAACGGCUUGAGCACUUCCUGCUUCUCCUAAUAUUUUACAAUCAUGUUUAGCUUCCUCAAUGCCCUCCCAGCAGGCAAUAAAGCUUCUGCAAUCA